GUGCCCUUUUUGCUUUUAGAAGAAAUGUAUCCUCGCAAACUUUCUGAAACUAAAAUUUCUCAUCUGCAAUCAACUUUAAGGUUAUUAAAGGAGUUUAAAGACUUAAAAGAAAAUUUAUGUGAAUUGAUAGGCCAAUUAUGUUCUGCAAGUAUAAAUGAAGUUUGAUGAGCUUCAAAGAUCCAUGUUUACUAACUUGGUAUUCAACUUUAGAAUCUUUGAGUCCACUGCCAACAACAUUGAACCAAAAGAUAAGUGAAUUUGACAAGCCUGUGAAUGUGAUUUUGGAUCCCUGCAGACUGUAGAAUAUGCCUCUCUGCUAGAAUUUAUUAGCAAAACCAAGUAUGGGAGAGGUUUAUCGCAUGUAGCUAAACAUUUAUGCAGAAUUUGUUUGUUUCAAUCGCAUGUAGCUGCAAUCUUGUGGCUGCCUUGAUUGUCAAGUAAGGCCUUGCCCAUACUAGUUCUAUGGUAAUUCUUGGCACCUGGCCAGUUCUCUUUCCGAGUCGAUGAUAAACAAGUUGAAAUUGUUGUUGUUUAAUAAAUGUCAUUCACAGGUUUUCUGUUAAACGUGCAGGUUAUGGAGAUUGUUCCAUAUCGCACUAUUAGUUUGCUUCUUUUUAGCUGAUAUAGAUGACUAAUGUAUGUAAGAAAUAGAACUUUGUUUGAUGAAGUUAGAUGGCUGCUGGCUGAAGCAGAUUGCUGCUAAGGUUCUUGAACUUAGUAACAGGAGACUUGAUUCGUGACAAAUUUGGCUGUCAUGUAAGUUCUGUAUGUGGCACCAAAUCUCACCUUGGAUGCUGGAUGACACACUUUGUGCUGUUGAAGUUCUUGAACUUCGAUUAUGACUUGAUUUUGCUGAUAACUGGUUAUUACUUAAGUGUGUGGGAUUACAUUCAACGGGCUGUGUUAGUCUGUCAACGUUGCUACACAUUUUGCUAUUGGGCAUUCUAGAUUGUAUUACAUGUGAUUUUGCUUUUACGUAGCUAUCUUGAGAAGUGGAUGAUGUUUUAAUUGUUUUUAGGAGAUUAGGAAAAUUUGUUGGAUUGGGAAACAUGUGAAAGUACAAAUCUUCCAAGGAAGAAAUGAGUGCUUCUCUGACUGGGAGAGCACCAUUAAUACAUUUCCAGAUGAAUACCUUGAUUUUGUGUUUGAUGUUGAGCUUCCGCAGGGUGCUUCAGAUUUGCUUGCUUUGUUGACUGCCUUCUUCAAAAUUUGUUCUAGCAGCCUCCCUGUUUUCCUUUCUUGUUGAGCUUUCUCCCAUUGGCCACUUGUACCCAAAGCUUACAGUGUAAUUCCCUCCUGCACUGAGCUGCCAAUAGUUGAAGUCUUCUCUGUCUGACAGAUUAAUAGGAAUGUUUAGGAUCCUCUCUGCAUCAGUCUGAUUGAAAAGUCUGAAAAUGGUAUUUCUGUUCCAUCUUCUGUGGUUGAUGAGCUGCUGCACUGUUUCAAAAUCACAAUUAUUAGGUCUGGGAGUAGUUGGUUUGCCAGAAGGUGAUUCUGGUAUCCACCUGUGCUCCCAAAUGUUAGUGCUUCUUCCAUUAUAUCCCUUUUUCAAUUUGACCCCUGGCUUUCAGUAGUCCUUUCCAGAUCCAGGAUGCAUUGCUUUGUGCUUUAAAUGAGAGAAUUGACUCCUUGGGGAAGUACUUAGCUUUCAACACUUCGCUGACCAAAAGAUUUGGUUUGGUAAGUAGUCUCCAGAUCUGUUUCCCUAGCAGAGCUUUAUUAAAGGCACCUUUCAUACUUGAAGGCAACCCAUUUCAUCGUGCCUGCCAUUUUCACAAUGGUUCCUCUAAGUAAAGGCUUUGGCAGGUCUGCUAGAAAUAGCAUCUUCAAGUGUCUUCCUUCCUUUCCUCCCAUCUGUGGGAUUAUAACAUCUUUACCCUUUUUAAAUACUGCUCCUAUCUUCCUCCCCACUUCUUUUGUUACCCAAUGUAUAGGUAGAUUCCAUGCCUGCACCCACAAGGGGGCUAUCUCAAAGGCUUCUGUUGUUUCUUCUAUCCCCUCUGUUCAUCUAUUCAGAACCAGGAUUUGGUUGUCUAUCAUUCACGGUCCUCCUUCCACUAUUCUUUCCUUGUCCUCUUUGUUAGAGAUGUUGAAUUGGAACAGGUCAGGUCCUAGUUGCACCACUGUCAGAUUUUUUGGAUAUCCCCAGGCAGCUGUACAAAAUUUUUAACACCUGUCAAGUUUGCAUUUUUCUCUCCUACUACUCUUCCAAUGUGACUGUCCUUGCACUCUCUUACUCCACCUUCCAGAUCUCUCAGGUCCAAAGUAGCUCUAGAGAGUUUGUUCCCAGCUAGGGAGAAUUUUUGCAAGAUUUCUUCUAAUUCCGACUCCAUUGAUAUUAUAAGAGGUGCUAAGGGUAUUCCUCGCUCUAGUACUGGGAAAUGAAAAUUAAAAAUGCUAAAAACAGAGGAGAAAAUUAGAUCUGCAUAUAAGGUAAGGAAGGGAAGAAACUGGUAGACUCAGGGAGCUCAAGAUCCUAAUACUACUGAUGGGUAUACCUCACAAAAUAUUACUGGAAAUUGAAAGUUAAAAAGCUGAAUAGAGAAGAUAAGCUAAAUCUAUACAUAAGAAAAGAAAGGGAAGAAAACAGUGGGAAUAAAAGCUCAGAAUCCAUACACUACUACCACUUCUAUUUCGCUGGCAAGGAAAAGAAGGGGUAGCAUUCAAGUUUUACCUGGGUUGAAGCUUCUUAGUUGUUGCACCUCUCAUAUUUGUACUUCAGCUUUUCUGUCUUCUUCAUUACUUCGUUAGUUCGUUAGGUUUGGCUGCAUUGAAUGCUUCUACAGGAUCAGACAAGUCCAGAUUUGAUCCACAUUUUGAGGAUUUCCUGAUAAAAGUGCAGGAGAUUAAGUGAAACAAUCAGAAAUCUCAAGGGAGUUUUGUGAAAUUAUCCCAUUAUUUAACAAGCAUACUCUUUUUUAACUUUUCUGCUGAAAGCCAACACCCCAAAAUGGAGGUGAAUUUUUGGUAAUUUAUUCAUGAUUUUCUCUAGUUAGUUUAUACUUUAAUUCUUCUAGUAUACCCUCUAUUUAUGAGAAUUAUCUUGUGAAUGUCUCACAAAAUGUGAUUGCAGUGUUGUUCUGUGAGUUCUGGCAAACAAAUUGAAGGAUUAGAAAGGCUUAAAGCAAUUUGCAUGUGAAUUGAUGGGUGUGUGUUCAGAAAAUAAAAGUGAAUUUUGAAUAGAUCUGAUAUAUGCAGAUCACUUCCAACAGUAGAAUCUGGGAGAUCACUUCAAACGUUGUUGUGCCCAGAAAUACCUGAAUUUCACAAGCUAAAACAAUUAUGGGAUAGACUUAUUACCUAUGGCUAAAUUUCUGCUCUCAAGGAGAACUUGUGCUUUUCAAUAUUUAGUGGAUUUGGUUGUAGAAGGAUAUUGUGCUGCCGUAGGACUUUAGUCCAUGAAAUGCUUAAGAUGCAAUCUGGCGGUUAGUUUGCUUAUCGUGUAACAUGUGGCCCCAUCCUCAUUCUAUUGCAAUUCUUGGCAAUUGGUGAUGCAGUAUAGCUUUUCAAUUCUAAAUUGCAAGUUCCACAAUUUCAGAGGCAAAGAUGAUAUAGUUGAAAUUGUUUCCAGGGAUUAUUUUUUGCACAUCAUUCACAGCUUUUUUGUUCGACAAUUUCAGAGGCAAAGAUGAUAUAGUUGAAAUUGUUUCCAGGGAUUAUUUUUUGCACAUCAUUGGCAGCUUUUUUGUUCGACCUGCAGGAGGUUAUGGAGAUUUUAUCAUGCAAAAGAUUAUGAAGCUUGAGUAAUUUGAUGCUCUUUAUAGUUAAUGCAGGUCUUGAACUGUGUAAAAGAAGACUAGCUUCGGGUCACGGUUGGUUAUUAUAACGUCUGUUAAGUUAUCUAUUUGGUGCUACAUUCCAUCGUGGAUGAGGGAUGACAGUAUGUGCUGCUGAAGUCCUUGAAUUUCGUACUAUGGGGUUUUAAUUUGUGUGAUAUAGUUGGCAGUCAUAUGGCACUACUCUGCGCGCGCGCAUUAUGCUGACCAUUGGAUAUUUGAGGCAUUAGUGGACUAGUGAGAUGUUAAUAGUUUUACUUUUGACGGUCUAAAUGGAUUUGAUUGUUUUCUGCACUCGAGGAAAUCUGUGGAAGGCAAGUUGCUUUCGAUAUUUAGUCGAUUAUUAAAUUAUUUAGCAAAAAAUCAUAAAAAUUGGCGCACUUACAAGGGGAAAAAUCGCUCUCCGUUUCACAGAGGCGCAAGGUAGUUUUUGGUUGCAAGGAAAAAUGUAGGAAAUUGAAAGGAAGGUAUUUUUUUGCUUUUAUGUAUGUAGUUUUUGGCUGCAUUUUCUUCUCUCUCUUUUUUUUUUUCCCCAUUUUCUUCUAUUUUUGUCACUUUGACAUUUUUAAUUCAAACCAGAGGGGAUUAUGCAUAGCUUUUAAAAUUAUAAAGGGAUUAUGUAAAAAUGCUAAAUCACAAGGGGAUAAAAUAUAAUUUAUCCAAAACUUAAAAACUACACGGUGAAUUCAAAACGGAAAUAAUGAGAUGGUCAUGUUUUCCCUGUCAAAUUAAAAUCUGUAGCGAAACUAUCCGCCAGUGCUCUAGCGUUUUACAUACUACAUUGCGGCUAUGCUCUAAGAAAUUUUACAGAAAGAUGUCUCUUUUUUUUCGCCUUAAAUAUUUUGAGUAGUGCCCGGUCAUUCAUUCGUCUGGUCAACAGCCAGUAGCAAAGCACCAAACCAGGCGGCGACGGAAAAAGUUAAACAGCAGUUAGAGAGCAAAUCUCGCCAUUUUUUGUUUUUUUUUGGCGCCCUUUUAUGUCACUAAUCGCAUUCAUAAGCCAAAAUAAAUGGGCUAUUGCCAAUUUUGGAAAAUCGUAGUUCCUUUUAACCACUGGUUGGAAAAAAAACCAGUGGUCUUUGACAAUCCAUUGUGAUUUCUUGAGCAAGUUUCCUAUAGUAUGAUUAAUUAACACUAAUACCAUUUGUUGAUGAGAAAGAAAAAGAGCACUUGUAAGGUUAUAGAACAAUGGAGUCAAGUUCGUUAUGUCCUCUAUUAGUGUUGUUGUUGCCUCGACACCAAAGCUUAUUUUAGCUGACAAUUUCAUGUGGAUGUCUUCGCAAUUGGUUUUAUAUUUCAUUUCUAUUCCAUCCUUCUUCCUUUGCCUUUCAUAGAUAGUUCCAACGACACCAACUACGUCGUGAUAUCUGUGUAGAUAUACGAGAUUAUUUUCGUAUUGUAAUUUUCCCCUUCUCUUUCAAACAUCCCCCUCUCCACCUUUCGAACUCACAAACUGCAUACGGGGACAUCUUUUUCUUUUCAUAACCGCCAAAGUUUGCUCUUAAUUACCGGCAAAUACAAGUAAGAUUUCACUCGAAGUUAUAAAAUGCGGUGCACAUUGCUUGCUGGAACAAGGAAUCAGUAAUUAGAAGUACUAGAAGCUAUGUGUUAGACUAUACUAUUAUUUCUUACAUCUCUCAUUCCCCUCUCUGUUUCUAUGUCAGGUCAGAAGGGAUUAGCCCUCUCCAGGCGGUGCAGUAGUGCUGGUUUCUGCCAAUGCUUUUUGAAGCAUGUACAAGGCUUUCUAGCAGUUUAACCGAAUUACAGUAAUAAAAUCUCCGGGAUUUUCUUCGAGACUUGACCAGAGCAUCAAGCAGAACCGCCUGCUUUCUUGACAGCAGAUGGCGCGUUUAUGGAGGAAAUCCCCAAGUUUUUGAAAAGCGUGCUCAAAUAAUCAAAAGUGCCGAAGAAACUAGUUCAAUGUAUUUACUAAUCGAUGUAUUUUUCGAAUACGUUGAUUUAGUAAUAAUGGCCUAGACAAGUCGAAAAACGCAGUGCAUGUGGUCUUUUGAGAAAAACAUCUUGUAUUUUUUUUUUUAAUCAAACUCUAUCGGAUAAGCCUACUGAUUUUAAUUUCCAUUACCAAAUUCUCUCACUCUUGAGUUCGGAUUAUUUAUUGGGUGCCCCCUCAUUUGGAUAAUUCAAAAAAGGUAAUUAACAUCAAACUAAAAUUGCAUACACACAUAAUGUUAAAUCAAUAUAUUAUGUUAAAUUUAAAUUUUGGUAGAGUCGUGUGUGUGUGUUGAGUUUCAAGUUUGGAAUUUUUAGGAUUCUCUUAUCAAAUCCUAUUGGAUUAUUCAUCGUUAUCUCUCAUCAAUAUCAAAUUCUAACGGAUUAUCCAUCGGUCAUCUAAUCGGAUUAACCAUUGGGUCGUGUACUUGCGGGGGUAUUGGAUUUUACACUGCCCAUUGCCAUUCCUAUUUGAGAAUUACUUAUUCUAAAUUAAUUCACUUCUUGGGAAUUGACUCAAUAUUUGAAAACGGAUUAGCAAAUUGUAAUCGCAGUUUUCAUCGAGCUUUACAGUGGACCGCGAUGAUUAGGGAUAAGAGUCCUACGAACAAAAAAUAUUGCUCAAACUAAAAGCAAGACCAAUUUAGCGAUUAUGACAGAAACGAAUUGAGAAAUCAAAUGUACAGCAUACUCUCCUUAAAUCACCAUUUUUUGAAUACUCUUUUUCCAGUGGUGCAGGAAUGCUUGCCACCCUUAGUGCCUGUUUGGAAUUAUAGUGGCUUAUUAAACAGAAUUUAAUUUGAUAGAAAUUUUUUAAAGUGCUUAGUGACUUAUUAAAAAAAAUACUUGAUCUAAUAGAGUUUAAAAUAAAAGUACUUAUUAAGUGCUUAGGUAUGUUAUAUGGAUGCAUACUUCAUACUUAUUAUGUAUUGGAUGGAUGAUAUGUAAUACUUAAAAUUCAUGGUUUUCUCCCCUUAAACAUAUAAAGUUUUCAAAACUGUCCUUGUAAAUUAAACUUUUUCCCGCCACAAUAAUUUGGAAAAUCUAGUCAAAUAAUAAACUUUUUCCCGCCACAAUAAUAAUAAACACCCUGCUAGUACCAAAAGUUAAAACAAGCAUCUCUGAACUUUCUGUAUCUAGGCUAGUCUAAAACCCUCUCCGUCCCUUUCUCUUAGACAAUUCCUCACCCACACCAUCUUACUUCCUUCCUCGUCUUGUUCUUAGCAGUUUCCUCCAUGGCUAAUCAGGUAUCCGAGUGCCUUUGCUUUAGUCUUCUUGACGUCAACGGUAAACGAAGCAAAUUUUCGCUUUGUUUCACUUGCAAAAAUCGCAUUUUCCCGUAUUUUCCAUGCUCCUAAUGUCGGUUAAAAUUGUAUCUUUACUCUAAAAUUUGGAUUUUAAGCAAACAAUUAAUACUUUGUCUUCUAAUUUUUCUUUCCUUUUCUGGACAUUUCUAAAAUAGAGCAAGUUAUAUAUACGGUUAUUGCAUAAGAGAAAGGUUGAUGCUUAUUACGUUAAAGCACUACAGUAUCUACCUCUUUUGUUGGUUUCUUGUAGCCAGAGCACCUCCUCAAAAAAAAACAAAAAAAAAAGAAAGAAGUCAUACACAGUUUUUGACUCAAAUUAGAAAUUAUACGUGGUAUAUAGCUAAAUGACACCUUUUUUUUUUUUCAUUUUCCUCCAUUUUUACUCGUGACUGCCUGCCUGCCCCUUUAAUGAAUUUUUUUUAAGUCAUUCAUUUUACUUUCUUCUUAACAGGCAGACCAUUCAUGGCUGAAGGUGCCAGGGGUUGUACUACCCGUAGCUGAUCAAGGUCCUCAUGGUAAUAUAAGUAAAUUCAUGAUUUUUUUAUUUUUCAUAUUUUUUUGUACUUGGAGAGGAUAUUAAUUUGUAUAAUUCGUUUUUGCGUUGUGUCAAGACAUAUGUUGGGCUUACGUGGCUCCAGAGACAAUGUCCUCGCAACACAAGGCAUUGCAUGCAGACAAAGAUCAUUUGCCAUUAUCCAAACAACAAGUUGUUAACUGUACAAAAAGUUGGUACCUGAACAGUGAGGUAGCUGAUGCUGAAAAAGAUGCUACAUUUACUAUCAAGCGAAUAUUUCUAUACACGGCAGCUGUAGAAAUUUGUCUGGAGUGGGAUUAGCCAUUCAACAGUGAAGAUAAGAGAUGUAACCCACCUCGUGGGGCAAGUGGUACUUGUUUUGAAAAAACCUUUAUAUUGUGUUUGUUAACUCAUCGUAAUAGGUUAUUAAUUCAUUGUAAACACACAGACCCAGCGUUUUUUUGUGCAAGAUAUCGUUGUUCCAGAGAGUGAUGAAGAAAUUAGAGAAGCAAUCUCAAAGUUUCCAAUUGCUGGAGCAGUGCAUAUAUACGACAGCUUAAUAAAUUGGAAGGAGGUUGGAACAAAUACGAUUAUUAAACACGUUUAAGAAUUCAUGCAUGAAAACCUUGUAACACUAAACCUUUUACAGGGCAUCUACGCUGGACCGACUCUGGAUGAAGAGAUUAAUAGUUCUGGCACCUUGGGCACACACGCAAUCUUGUUGACCGAUUUGCGUGUAGAGGAUGGGAUAGAAAUGUUUGAGUUUAAGAAUUCUUGGGGCGACUGGGGGCAAGAUGGCAUUGGAAAGAUAAGGAAAGAGCUUGUUUUUAGAAUCUCAUAUUCAACCGGGAUUAGUUGGUCUUGGCUAGAGAAAGGCUUGAAAUCAACUAUGGACGUGGGUGUUUCAAAAGAUCAAAAAAGAGAUGGGGAUGGAGGGGACAAAAGGGAUUCUAGAACAAAAUCAAAAGGAGGUAAAUUUAGUGGCUUAGUUAAAAGGUAAAACCCAGGUGGCAACUAAAACAGGUGUGAAGGGAAGCAAAGGUGGCAGGUCAAGGCUAAGAAGUGGCGCCAGGUAAAUGACAAAUUUUACGGUUAAAAGAGUAACAAAAAGAGAAAAAAUAGUUUUAUAUACUAUUUGUUUUUUUCUAACAUUUAUAUACUAUUUGUUGUUGUGUAUGAUUAAUGCUUAUUUUCUCUGACGAAAUAUUAGUGGAAUUGAGAUGUUGAAGGGUGAACUAAUUGGCCAAUCAUGCCCGUGCACUGGUACGUACUCACAGUUGUCUUAUGGUAAGUAAAGAAACAGGAUAUUGUAUUCUUUGUAAGGUGUACAAGUAUAUUUUGGAUGUGGUAUUCUUUUAUUGGAAAAUUAUAGGUAUUUUGGGUAUAUUAAAACUAAAAUUUAAUAGUCUUGUAACACCGUUUAAAAAUAAUACUAGGCAUUGUGCCCCGCGAUUUUUGUGGGGUGUCCAUUAUUGAUUGUUUAAGAAUAAUGUUAGAUUUAUUUAAUAAUUAAUAUUUAGAGUGUUUUAUAUGAUAGUAGGGUUGGAAUAAUAAAUAGAGGAACAAUAUAUUGGAUUAAUAUAUUUAUAAAUAGAUAUUUGUAUUUAAUUUUUUAAGAGUAACAUGAUGUAAAUAUUAUUUAAAUUAAUGGAAUGUAAAUCAUUUUUUAAGAGUUGAGAUAAAUUAAUAAUUCAAAUAAUUUCGAUAUGUUUAUUUUUAUAUUGUUAAAUAUAAGUGGAAGUAGAAUAAAGAAAAUUUAGGGAACAGAUAAUUGCUAUGUGCAAGAAGCUGUAGUGGACACGUUUAAUUAUAAUUGUUGGAUAAAGUAUCUGCUAGUUGAUAAUUGUUUUCAUUGAGUAGGGUGAACAUGAUGACACUUCUUUCGUGUAAGAAGUGUUUUUGUGGGAAUAUUGGCCAACUUUCUGUUAUUUCUAUUCCUUCUAGUUGAAAGAUCCAUCGAGUUUUAGCAUGAUUGCAAUUGAUGACUCUUAUGUUGUCUGUUUGUAUAUGCGAGGGUAUAUCACCAAUGAGUACCUGAGAUAGAAAAUAGGGAAAAAAUAUAUUUGUAUUAUGAAAUGAUAGUAGCAAUGUAGUGUAUGAAUUAUAUUGAUUGAAAUGUAAUUUGUAUGAAACUCACCAAAGAUUCAAGAUCGUGCGAUAGAUAGUGGAAGAAUUUAGUAUUAGAAAAACUAAAAGAAAAGAACUAUAGUGAAGAAUAUAAAUUCAUAAAUAUAAUAUAUACAAAAUAAGGAUUUUUAACAAUUUGAAAUUAUAAAUUUAUAAUCAUAUAUUUGUAUUUAUUGAUGAAUAAUUGUUUUUUGAAUCAAUAAAUAUUGGAUUGAUUUAUUUUUUAAGUUUAUAUAUAUUAGAUACAUGUCAAGUACAUAUGAUUUUCAUUCAUUUGUAUCAAUACGAAAUAACAUAAUCAAUUUAUAUAUAUUGACUGGAUACACAUAAAAUUUGUAUUCAUUUGCAUAUAUUAGAUGCAUGUAGGAUAUUUAGCGAUUUGCAUAUUUUUUCAUAUUUAAUAUUUUUGCUAAUAUAUACAUUUUGGAGAAAAUUAAUUAAAUUUAUAUUUAUUAGAUACAUGUUAAGUACGUAUGAUUUUCAUUGAUUUGUAUUAAUACGAAACAGUAUAAUUGAUUUAUAUAUACUGAUUAGAUACACAUAGAAUUUUUAUUCAUCUGCAUAUAUUAGAUGUACGUAGGUUUUUUAGGAAUUUCCAUAUUUUUUCAUAUUUAAUAUUUUUGCUAAUAUAUAUAUUUUGGAGAAAAUUAAUAAACAAGUGAAUAAAUAUAAAAGAAGGCUAUUUUAUGUAUUAGAUGUGCAUAGCAUUUUUAGUGAUUUGCAUAUUUUUUAAUAGUUAAUAUUUUUAUCAAUAUACACACUUUAGAUAAAAUUAAUAAAUAAGUGAGUUAAUAAAUAAGCAGAUAAAUAUAAAGAAGGAAGGAAAAUUAUAAAUAUAGAAAUAGUCUCAAAAUUAUAAUUACUUGAUAUAAAUAACACUUAUUAUACGUUAAUACAAUGUAGUAUUAUUAAUUUAUAUAUAUUAGAUAUACGAUAAACACAUAUAAUUUUCAUUGAUCUGCAUUAAUAUAAAACAACAUAAUCGAUUUAUAUAUAAUGAUCAGAUACAUAUAGAAUUUUUAUUCGUUAGUAUGUAUUAGAUAUACAUAGGAUUUUUAGUGACCUGUGCAAUUUUUUGAUAUUUAAUAUUUUUUCAAUGCACACACUUUUGACAAAGUUAAUAAAUAAGUGAGUUAAUAAAUAAGUGGAUAAAUAUAAAGAAGGAUGGAAAAUUAUAAACAUAGAAAUAGUGUCAAAAUUAUAAUUAUUUCACAUAAAUAACACUUAUUAUAUGUUAAUACAAAGUAGUAUUAUUAAUUUAUAUCUAUUAGAUUCAUGAUAAACAUAUAUGAUUUUCAUUGAUCUGCAUUAAUACAAAACACCAUAAUCGAUUUAUAUAUAUUGAUAUAUAUAUUGAUUAAUAUGUUUGUGUAUAUAGCAACCUGCAUUUUUUUAUAUUUAAUAUGUUUGUUAAUAUACACAUUUUAGAGAUGCACGUAGGAUAUUUAGCGAUUUGCAUAUUUUUUCAUAUUUAAUAUUUUUGCUAAUAUAUACAUUUUGGAGAAAAUUAAUUAAAUUUAUAUUUAUUAGAUACAUGUUAAGUACAUAUGAUUUUCAUUGAUUUGUAUUAAUACGAAACAGUAUAAUUGAUUUAUAUAUACUGAUUAGAUACACAUAGAAUUUUUAUUCAUCUGCAUAUAUUAGAUGUACGUAGGUUUUUUAGGAAUUUCCAUAUUUUUUUCAUAUUUAAUAUUUUUGCUAAUAUAUGUAUUUUGGAGAAAUUAAUAAAUAAGUGAAUAAAUAUAAAAGAAGACUAUUUUAUGUAUUAGACGUGCAUAGCAUUUUUAGUGAUUUGCAUAUUUUUUUUAAUAGUUAAUAUUUUUGUCAAUAUACACACUUUCGACAAAAUUAAUAAAUAAGUGAGUUAAUAAAUAAGCGGAUAAAUAUAAAGAGGGAGAGAAAAUUAUAAAUAUAGAAAUAGUCUCAAAAUCAUAAUUAUUUGAUAUAAGUAACACUUAUUAUAUGUUAAUACAAGGCAGUAUUAUUAAUUUAUAUAUAUUAGAUAUAGGUUAAACACAUAUAAUUUUCAUUGAUCUGCAUUAAUACAAAAUAGCAUAAUCGAUUUAUAUAUAUUGAUUAGAUACAUAUAAAAUUUUUAUUCGUUAGUAUGUAUUAGAUAUACAUAGGAUUUUUAGUGACCAACAUAAUUUUUUGAUAUUUAAUAUUUUUUUUUCAAUACACACACUUUUGACAAAGUUAAUAAAUAAGUGGAUAAAUAUAAAGAAGGACAGAAAUUAUAAACAUAAAAAUAGUGUCAAAAUUAUAAUUAUUUCACAUAAAUAACACUUAUUAUAUGUUAAUACAAAGUAGUAUUAUUAAUUUAUAUAUAUUAGAUGCAUGCUAAACAUAUAUGAUUUUCAUUGAUCUGCAUUAAUACAAAACACCAUAAUCGAUUUAUAUAUAUUGAUUAGAUACAUAUAGAAUUUUUAUUCAUUUGUAUGUAUUAGAUGUAUAUAGGAUUUUUAGCGACUUGCAUAUUUUUUUUGAUAUUUAAUAUGUUUGUGUAUAUAGCAACCUGCAUAUUUUGUUUAUAUUUAAUAUGUUUGUUGAUAUACACAUUUUAGAGAAAGUUAAUAAGUAAGCGAAUAAAUAUAAAAAAGUGAUAAAAUUGUAAACAUAAAAAUACGUUGGUCAAUAUACACGGCUUGAAAAUUAAGAUAAUAUUUUUUAUUUUAUAAAUAUUAAAUUACUAUAAUACAUUUUUCCAAAAGAAUUUUAAAAAAUAGCAGUAUAUCUAGUUUAGUAAACGAUUUGAACACUUCCGCAUAUAGCAUUUUUAUUGAUUUGCAUAAUUUUUUGAAAAUCAAUAUCUUUGUUAAUAUAUAAAAAAGCAGAGGAAAUUAUAUUUUGAAGAAGGAAACGUUUACAAAGUUAAAGAAGGAAGUUAUACGUUGAAGGAAGUUAAUUAAUAAAAUUGAUAAAUUAAUAUAUCUAAUUUUUGUCAAUAGAGUCCGAUAACAAUUGCAACAGCGAAAGAUGGACAGGAAACAAAAGGGUCCGAUAACAUAUUGCAGCAGCGAAGGAUGGACAGCAAACAAAAGGACAAAACUGAGCAUAAAAUUACAAAGAAACCAGGACAAGGGCACAAUUGGAAGAAGGGAACAAAAGCAGAAAUGAGCAAAAAGGCACCAGCAGCCAAAGGGGCUGCACGGAAGCUGGAAAGGAUCAAAAAGGACGAAAUCAGCUGCGAAACCACAGCGAAACCGGCACAAUCAACUGUAGAUUUGGCUUCGCGGCUUUUUGUAGUUUAGAUAGCUUCCGGUUCCUAUUUUUCGGUUUGUUAUUAAUGGUUAUUUAUGGUGGAACUUGGAAGACCUUCUUGCUUGUGUUUCCAUUUCGGUCUUUUCUUGGUAUUUUGCAGUGAAACGUUUUGACUGCUUUGCCCUCUCCCCUCUCCUGUAUAUGUCAAGAAUAGUUGGAUAGAAAAGUCAAACAGGGUAACUUUUUAAGUACACAUCUUGGGCGAGGAGAUUGGCAAACAACCGCAGAGGAUUGAAUUAGGAUUUUUAAUUUGUGUUUUGGGUAGGGCGAGGGGAAUAACUGGGGCAGAUAACAUCAGCUGACAUGAGUAUUUCAUUUGAAAAUCCCAUUGUUGGUGAUAUAGGUGGAGAUCAGGAAGAUUCUUUAGGGGCUUCACCACCCCAAAAGAAGCACAAGCUUGAUGAUAAAGAAUGCCAUGGUGCCAAGGAGAAGGAAAAGGAGAUGCCAACAUCAGAAAAGGAUUCCUGUUGUUCAAAUGAAAUUUUUACCAUUUCUGAUGAGCAAUUUGAGAAAUUGAAGUUGGACUAUUGCCCCGAAGGGGUCGAAGAGAUUGAUCAAGAUGUAUGGACCAAGUAUUUUAAAGAGAUCGAGGAGAGUGAGGUAUUUAUGUGUGGUAUUUGUGAUGUUCUGCAUUGUUUUUUCUUUUUUCCCCCCUUUGUCUCUCUUAAUCUAGAUUGAUCUUAUUUGGGGCAUCAUACCUUUGUGUUAGGGUUUUGACAUUUAUCAUUAUCCUGGUCUAUGUUUGAUGGCUCGAUUUACUCCCCUGGAUGUUGACAAUUUCUCGAGCGACAUGGCUGAACUGUCAAAAGCUGCAAUUGUGCAUUUCAACAAGGAAAAAGUAUGUGUUCCAAAAAUUAAUUUUUCUUUUACUCUUUUCCUCUGUUAAUAUUUAUCACUUUUUACAGCUGCAUUAGUCUGUUACCUAUUUCAAGUGAAUUAAACAGUAAAAUCUUUCAGAUUAAGAAUUACAAAUUGGAAAAGGUUGAGAAGGCAAAUGCACAACUUGGCGGUGCUGGUGUCAAUUACUACAUAACCUUUCAAGCCAAGGAUUUUGUUACUAAUGCUUUUGAUACCUUCCAAGCCUUAGUCUGGAACGGGUGGAAUCCAGAAUCUAUUGAUGUGCAAUUCUGCCGGCUCAAAUCAGUUCCUGCAACUUGACCUAUGCUGUUCCAGGUAAUUCAAUCUAAUUGGGUUUCUGAUAUUGGUUUUGAACUUUUAUGAGUUAUCAGUUUAUAGGUGGAAAUUAGGAAUUCGCUAGAAUAGCAGCAUGAUCUCCACACUGUGUUUUCCUGUGUUUUUCUUCCAUAUACUGGGUAAGUAUAAUGAGCCCAUGUCUCAUGAUUUUAGAAAGAUACCAAAAGUCAGCAGUGGAGGUCCUUCUGGAACAAUUUAUUCAGGAACUUUCUCCAUGGUUUAUAUCGUACUUCCUCUGCUAUGUCCACACAAAUAACUUUACAGAAAUCUACUAAGUUGAUGAUAUAGUCGGCUUCUUCCUCCUCAGGGUUGUCAUAUAGUGAAAUCUGGUCUUGACAUGAAAACUACGGUUGGCAGUUGACUAAUAUGCUGGUUCUACAAUCAUCAGAGUUCUAGUCUAUGAGUCUGUUAAGUUGACAUAUGGUUUUUGCUGGGUGUAAUCAUGGGCAUGCUACAUGCAUGUUUUGAGGCUUGAUGUGGGUUUGAUUUUGUUGUUGUUGCAAUCUUUAUGCAAAGCAACAAUUAUUGUCUUGGCUGCUGCUAUACAUUGACUUGUUAUGGAUGUGGGAUAUUCAGCUCUGUCUUUCAAAAACUUCAAAUUUGUUGCCUAGUCCGAACCCUUUGUUGCUAUUGAAUAUGCUAUUCUUGGAUGCAAAGGUAAUUUAGGUGUGGUGGGGAGGCUAUUUUGUCACUUUGUUGCAGAUAAUCUGUACUUCAUUUUUUCUGGUGAUUUUAGUUUGCGAGGGACUCGAAUAGGCAUAACAUGUUGUGUAAUGUCUUGUUUUUCUGGUGUGGCAUAAUAUAUAUGUUCUGAUUACAAGUCAACUUUGUUGCAUAACUACACAUGCUAUUGGAAUUAAAGAUUGCUACUUUUCACAAUCAUCAAGGUUAACUGGAAAUGUUGCUUGGCAUUUUAGUAUGUGUUUCAUAUCUCACAUGUUGCUUGAUUUUAGCAUUUCGUUCCCAUAUAAUCUGGUAGUAAUGCUGCUCAUGCAAUGUACAUAUUCUAAUUAAGGCGCAAUUUUAAGUUUUUGAGUUUAUUGUUUGUGAUGUUUCCAAGUUUGUAAAGUGCAUUAUAUAUAUAUAUUUUUUGUUUGUGGACCUUUUUGUGUUUCAGUUUGUUCUUUUAGCUUAUGAAUUCUUGUUCAGUUGCUGCGUUCAUUUUGGUGGCUGUAAUAUCACAAAUCUACAGGUGCCCUUUUUGCUUUUAGAAGAAAUGUAUCCUCGCAAACUUUCUGAAACUAAAAUUUCUCAUCUGCAAUCAACUUUAAGGUUAUUAAAGGAGUUUAAAGACUUAAAAGAAAAUUUAUGUGAAUUGAUAGGCCAAUUAUGUUCUGCAAGUAUAAAUGAAGUUUGAUGAGCUUCAAAGAUCCAUGUUUACUAACUUGGUAUUCAACUUUAGAAUCUUUGAGUCCACUGCCAACAACAUUGAACCAAAAGAUAAGUGAAUUUGACAAGCCUGUGAAUGUGAUUUUGGAUCCCUGCAGACUGUAGAAUAUGCCUCUCUGCUAGAAUUUAUUAGCAAAACCAAGUAUGGGAGAGGUUUAUCGCAUGUAGCUAAACAUUUAUGCAGAAUUUGUUUGUUUCAAUCCUGUGUUGAUAUGCUCCUCUAAGAAGGGUAGUGUGUUGUAUAUAUUGUCUUGGCAAAAACUCACUGGAUAAGAUAAUUAGGGCAGAGGCUUAUGAUCUAUAGCUAAAGUUUUAAGAACUGGGCAUAUUUGAUCCUAUGAGGAGGACGGUUGGAUUUAUUAGUUACUUUAUUCAACUUGACAAAAUGCUUUAGCUGCAAUCUUGUGGCUGCCUUGAUUGUCAAGUAAGGCCUUGCCCGUACUAGUUCUAUGGUAAUUCUUGGCACCUGGCCAGUUCUCUUUCCGAGUCGAUGAUAAACAAGUUGAAAUUGUUGUUGUUUAAUAAAUGUCAUUCACAGGUUUUCUGUUAAACGUGCAGGUUAUGGAGAUUGUUCCAUAUCGCACUAUUAGUUUGCUUCUUUUUAGCUGAUAUAGAUGACUAAUGUAUGUAAGAAAUAGAACUUUGUUUGAUGAAGUUAGAUGGCUGCUGGCUGAAGCAGAUUGCUGCUAAGGUUCUUGAACUUAGUAACAGGAGACUUGAUUCGUGACAAAUUUGGCUGUCAUGUAAGUUCUGUAUGUGGCACCAAAUCUCACCUUGGAUGCUGGAUGACACACUUUGUGCUGUUGAAGUUCUUGAACUUCGAUUAUGACUUGAUUUUGCUGAUAACUGGUUAUUUUACUUAAAGUGUGUGGGAUUACAUUCAACGGGCUGUGUUAGUCUGUCAACGUUGCUACACAUUUUGCUAUUGGGCAUUCUAGAUCGUAUUACAUGUGAUUUUGCUUUUA
rnacentral:lncRNA from 1 species